GCAGGAGCGCUCGGAGUUGUGGGGUACGGACCCCAGGCGGGGCAGGGAGUCCGAGGCGGGCUGCGGCGGGGCUCUCGGGCUGGCGGACUCGGGGGCUGAGGCGCCGUGCGCGUUGGGUGCCCGCGGCCGCAGAGGCCAGAACCGCUACUCCUCCAGGCCGGGGAGACGCGGCCGUGGAGCGUGAAACGCUUCUUGCAAGCGAGGAAACGGUCAGCAGUUCUAGAAGAAUCUUUCUGGACAAAAGACCUGGAGUUGGCACUUUUGGCUGCCACUCAACAUUGAAUGGCCUCUAGCUGUGACCCAUCUUGGGACAAGAAAAUAAACUAAGGAGACGCAACACCUGCUGUUAGCUGAACCUGCUGACCAGGCUCCGUCUCCUCAAAGUUUUGGGGGAGCAGAGAAGAUGGUAUGAGCAGAACUUCUUUCUCUUGGAUCAGCUCCUAGGUUUGUUCUAGUGCCUGAAGAGAACAGGUUGCAGUAUCUCCAACUGCAAAGCAGAUGAGGCAAUUGAUCCUCCGACAGGUUGAGGAGCACCUGCAAGGUCUCAGACAGGUGGUAAGUAUCAGAAAGAGAGGGUUUAAAUGCAGAUUCGGUCUGAUUCUGCAGGAGAUCUCAUACCUGAACAGGUGAGUCAUCGUCACGUUUCAGGAGCAACCACCAGGGCAUGCUGAACUUCCUAAGGCAGUAGGGUGACCAGCUGCCUUGGUUUGCCGGAGACUGGGGGUUUCCCAGGACACAAGACUUGCAAUGCUAAAACUGGGAAAGUUCUGGACAGACUGGGACAAGCUGGUUCCCUUAUCUGGAAGUGAGAAUAAAACAUAAGCUACUAAGAGUGCUGUGACUUUAAACUGUAAAAUCAAAAUAAGUAGCAAACCAGUGGUUUGUGGGUAGGAUGUGAGUCUCUGGCGAGUUUCUUUUUAACUGCAUGGAGUUCCUAAGGCAUUUUACACAGAUUGCAUUUGAAAUGCCAGAGUUGUUGCAUAGAAAGUUGGACCUCGGGCUUUCAAAAAAUAGAAAGAGCAGGUCUUGGAAGGCUACAGUCCCAGCAAGGGUGAUGGCUCCUUUCGUAAUUCUCAGUUCCUGCUGGCCAACCUUAUUCAUUAGACCAUGGGCUUGGCUCUUGGAGACAGUCAAUGUUUUCCGUAGAGAAUAUUACCCCGCAGUGGCCAGGAAGCAAAUGCCAAUAGAUCUCCAAAAUAUUUGAUCAUACCAAUGGAUUGCCUAGAAUAUCCUGUGGUCUUUCUGUUGCCUUUGAGAGAACGUCAUGGAAUACCAGGUGGGGGUGGGGCAGGUGAGCUCAGGGUAGCAAGGAUUCUGACAUAGCAAAGGGAAAUUCUGUAUGGGACAGACUCAAAGGUCCCAGAUGCCCUCUCAAAUGAAGAUGGCAAUAUUCCAAAUAUUCAUUGAUCCAUAAGCAUCUCACGGCAGGUAUAAGAUCUGGGAGAACUCAUCUUAUUCCAUCCCCAGGAAACAAACAUCCCUUCUUGGGCAAUGUCUCCAGGCCACGCUUCUCAUCCGCAGAGCAGGUGCCUGUUCUCCCCGGGCCAUCUGACAGGGGAGAUAGAAAAUCUGCAAGAGAAAGCUCACAGCACGGGGCUGAGCCCUGGAGGGGAAGCACAGAGGCCUGUAUUCUAAUUCACUGAUGAUCAAUUUGCAAGUUCUUUUUCUCUUAGUUCCCUUAGUUUCCUUCCAGGUAAUGCAGAAUUCCUUGAAGCUUCUCUAGGUUGUUUUACUUUGCAAUCUUUGGUCAGAAGGUCUUUCUCAUGUUAACAGGUGAGUUAAGGUAAGAGCCCCAGACUCCUGGGCUUCCCCCAGCCCACUCCAUGAUCCCAAAAGAGAUUCCACUGGGGGAUACAGUUUGAAUCACCUGAACUAGACAAUUAUUACAGCUUCUCUUCCAGGUUGAAUAUUUCAGGGUCCCUUGCCAAACAGGGGAAGAUCUUGUUAAACCAAAAUCCCAAAUAGAUUUCAAAUAUGCUGGAAGUUUACAUGACCCUAAAGACUGCUCUCCAUGAGAGACUCAGGGGCUGGGGUAGUACCUUCUAAAUUUCCAUGGGAAAAUGAACAUGCUCCAGCAAGAGCUUGGGAAAAGAAGAUAGUCCCUAAGUUUUAUUGUUUGAAAUUUGUCACUCAAGGAUGUGAACGUGUCGCUGACAAUUAUGUAGCAUCUCAGAGCUCAGAAAGCACUUUUGCAUCGAUUAUUUCAUUUCUUGUUCGUGCCAAUUGUGUGAGGUGGACAACGUUAUGUUCAUAUGAGAAAUGCAGCCCAGAGAGGCUCAAACCCAGCACUUUUAACUCCCAAUCUCCCUCUUUUCUCAGUACCAUGUGGUAAGUCUUUAUUAACCAGAGUGUCCAAUUAACCAGAACAUGCCUGUGUCUUAGGGAUCAUCCCAGACUGAUUUUCUUUGCAGAAAACCCCAGGGAGCCACAGCCUUUCCUGCACCUCCUUUUGUUAGCUGUAUGUUUUUUUAGCGGCCCAGUGAGGCCUGCAUUUCAGAGCCUGUGUUGCAAAGCUCAUUGCUGUGGAGGAGACGGUUAUGGGCUGGGGCCUGGGUCUUCCGCCCCUUCCUGGCAGACCAGGAGCUUCAGUUGCUCUCUGUGAAGUUCUUCUUUGCAGGAGCCUGACACAGACGACAGCCCCAGGUAAUCCCUAUUCUUCAAGACCAAGCCAGGGAAAAUCUUCCAGAUGUUCUUGCUACUCACCCCGACCUUGCGGUCUUACCCUUCUGGCUGAACAAGAGACAAACAGCUCCUCUCCACUUGGCUGUGUGCGGCUUAACGAAUGCGUAUGAAGACCGUAUAAAUAAUUCACAUCACUCAAGAGGUGGCGAGCUGAACAAGUCCCUUCUGGUUACAUUUAUUUCAAGAUAAGGUGAAACUAAUGCCCCCUAAAUAUUUCCACUGAAGACUUUUAGAACUUUGGAAUAAGGAAAUUGUAUCUCCAGCUGACAAUAAAAUUUACGAAGCAAAGAAUGCCUCCGUUAAUACUUUCCAAACGUCUUUGUUUUUGAACGAGCAAGAUGCUGAGAACCUUCCAAUUCAGUAACCCUGCCUCUGACAGGCAGCAGAACAGUUAGCAAGGUUGACAGAUAGAUGCAGCCACACGAUGCAAUAAUCCUUGCUGCACUGAACUUUGUAUUUAAACACUUAUUUUAUGUUUAAUUAAUUUCUCCAAAGAGGAAAACUUCCAGGCUGCCUUUGAAGCCGGCUGUUUGUUUAAGAUAUUUUGUUUUAAGAAUAAGAGAAAAAAAGGAAGGAAGGAAACGGAGGGAAAAUGUUUAUGUUUUUCCUGUUGUUUUUUCAAAUAUGAUGUGACAUUGUGAAAAGGCCUCCUGAAAGUGCAAUUUUUUGUUUGUGAUGGAAGAGAGAUGCACCUAUGAGUCUUACAUCAUCAAAGAAACAGACGCUUAUCUAUAAUUUAUGCUUUGCUUUAAGCUUCUGCUGAUCUGAUGUGGCUUUUUUAAGACAACACAGGCAGCCCUGGCAUCACUUGUCAAUCAUCGGGGCAUGCUCAAAUCGUAGACCAUUAGCAGGAGGGACGGCAGAGUUUCUUUAAUGACGCUUUUAUACGGGGCAUCCUGGCAGUGAAACAGAGAGGGUUUGAUUUGAUCAAUGCAUUAGCCUAAUCACAGCGUUCCUGCUCUUAAUUUCUUUUGUCGGCAAUUUCCAUACAUGGGUUGCGUUCAGGGUUCUGGCAAAAACCCGUUCAGAACUCCGUGUGACAUGUGCAGUCACCUUGCCCGGAUUUCUCUCGGUGGGAAGCGACGUCUGCAAGAGAGGGGACGGCGGCUGGGCUGGAUGGCUGCCUUUGAGUCCGUCCUGCGGUGAGGCUGGGGAAGGCCCAUUCCACGCGAGCCUUGGCUUCAGCCCUGAGGUGCCUGCCAGCCCCCGUGGCAGACCCCGGCCCUGCCAAUUUCAGCCCCCUUGGUGAUUCUGUUCCAGCGCUCGCCAAAAGCAGAAUCCGUGUAUAAUGAACAAGUUUCAUGUUCAACAUUUUAAGUGUCUAUUUAUGAGUCCCAGUAAUUAGCCCUUUGUCUGCAAUUCUGGCGAUGAUGAUUAGAAUUCCAUCUCACGUUAUGAAUGCUGCUCCCCAAACUUGUCCUUCUCGCCUGGAGAAUCCCAAGCAGGUGGGCACCUGAAAGGCAAAGAAAGGGGGCGAUUUGGGGAGUGGCCGGUCUCUUCUUUUACCAGCCCUCCAGCAGCCUCCUUCCUUUGAUCCCAUUCUUCCCUGGCUGUAUGUAAUUUCAGACUUCUCAGAAUCCAUUUUCCUGGCUUUUGUUCUGAAACUUGUUUUCUUCUCAUCCUCCACUGUCAUCCCCAAAGGGUGCAUUUUUUUAUAUCAUGCCCUACACAUGAUAUUUGUACCUUUUGCAAAAUCUUGUCAGGAUGCUAUGAGGUUUGAGAGUCUUUCCAAACGAAUCAUUCUCAGAAUCAAAAUAUUAUGAAGGAGGCCAAAUUAUCUCUAAUUAUAACCUCCAGAAAAGUGGAGAACUUUUUCAACAAACAGAACAGGGGUAAGCAUCUUACAGAAAUAUUUGCAAGAAAAGUAAUAUUCUUUUUUUUUAAAGCUAUCAAAUCAUGUAAGCAUACAAAUAAAUGUAUUUUAAUAAGGGUAAAAUUACUAGUUAAUGAGUUUGCUUUGGGGUUUUGUAUCUUCG
rnacentral:lncRNA from 1 species